AUUGACUUUUGGCAAGGACGAAGAACAGAGAGAGUCUUGAAACCUAGCGACGUCUCAGUCAAUCCAUAUUGAUUGAGCUGCACCUACGGAUACCAUCUCUGACAAGGACGAAGAACAUAUUGAACUUGGAUCGGAGUUGUGGACCUGUGGUAUGCUUUAGGAAAGCUUAGAGCAGAGGAAGCUGCAUGGACAUUAGCCAAAGAAACUGGGUUAAAGCUGAAUACAAUCUGCCCAGGUCUCAUUAUUGGCUUUGAAUUUUGCUCUACAAACCCAACAGCAACAAUUGCAUAUCUCAAAGGAGCCCAAGACAUGUAUCGAAGUGGCGUGCUAGCAACCAUGAAUGUGAUGAGACUGGCAGAAGCACAUGUGUGUAUGAGGCGAUGAACAAGUCGGCAUUUGCAAGAGACAUUUGCUUUGAUCAAGUCAUUGAAACAGAGAAAGAGGCAGAAAAGCUAGCAGAGGAGACCAGUAUGCCAAGAACAAGACAUGUGGAAAUGAUGAGGGAUCUAGCAGUGCUCAUCAUCUUAGAUAUGAAUUGUCGAAUAAGAAGCUUACAAAAAUUUUGUCAA